GACGAACGCUGGCGGCGUGCUUAACACAUGCAAGUCGAACGAGACGAUUGAAAGCUUGCUUUUAAAAGUCGAGUGGCAAACGGGUGAGUAACGCGUAGACAACCUGCCUUUGAGAUGGGGACAACAGUUCGAAAGGACUGCUAAUACCGAAUGUUGUAUAUUUUCCACAUGGAAGAUAUAUUAAAGAUGGCCUCUAUUUAUAAGCUAUCGCUCAAAGAUGGGUCUGCGUCUGAUUAGCUAGUUGGUGGGGUAACGGCCUACCAAGGCGACGAUAAGUAGCCGGGCUGAGAGGAUGAACGGCCACAUUGGGACUGAGACACGGCGCAGACUCCUACGGGAGGUAGCAGUGGGGAAUCUUCCACAAUGGACGAAAGUCUGAUGGAGCAACGCCGCGUGAGUGAAGAAGGGUUUCGGCUCGUAAAGCUCUGUUGUCGGGGACGAAUGUGCAGUAUUUGAAUAAAGUACUGCAAUGACGGUACCUGACGAGGAAGCCACGGCUAACUACGUGCCAGCAGCCGCCGUAA
rnacentral:rRNA from 1 species